GGUGAGAUGAUGAAUGUUCCUGUAUCUUACCUGUAUCGAAGAAAGAACUUACCAUGAGAAGGCUGUUUGCCAGCAGUGGUUGAAGAAGCACCUUUGAUGUCAAGGCUGUCAUGCCAGUCACGUGUCAUUAUAUUACAGUGUGAAUGAGGGAUGGCCAUCGGUGACCAACGGGGAUUUACUGCCUUGAAGGCACGCAUGUGUGUGAUUAAGGGAUAUACAUGCAUGACUCCAGGAUUUACUUCCUUCCUGUCCCACAGAGUUACUGAAGGGAGUGAGUUAUGGGAUAAUUUAUAACGCGGCAGGCCCUUCCUCAAGACAGCCCUCGUCAAAACAGGAAGAUGAAACUCAGGUUUCACCAAGGAGACCACAGCUUGGGAUACUGUCUGGAUGUACCUCUUAAUUACAAGCAGAAAAGUCUUCAUACGUUUCCCUUUCUAACCCUCAGGCCCCGCAAGAGGCAUCUACUGAAAGGACAUGAACAAAUGACUUUGGACUGCUUAAGAAGCUUCCUUCCUGCUGACCAGCUAUCAUAAUACUGAAAAGUGCUAAAAACCAUGAGUAGUCUUGCCUAGCUGCGAAGCCUGUGAACUGCAGUAGUGACCAUCGGGAGAAGAUUUGCCAAGGGCUGUAAUAGUGGCAUGGAUGUUAUAGAGAUGGAGAUUAAGGCAGAAACUCACAAAUGGUAACACACGGAGAAUAAGUGUCUGUGGAGUGCUUAGCUACAGAUGCGGAGUCUACAUCACUUCUAUCUCUGAGGUCCCAGACCAUAUUCGAAGAGAGGGUGGAAGAAGUUGAGAGCCAGAGGUGGAGCAAUCUUGGGGAGUCCAUCCACUAUUUGUGGAUCUCUGUUUGUGGAUGUGGAUGUUUUGACCUUUUCAGCCUCAGACUUGGUGUCAGUAUUACCAGCUGAAGAAGCUGGGAAGCUGAAAGCCUGUGAGAAGAAUCCGAAGUCAAGAUGGGGAGAUGUCUUAACACGAGAAGAGCCAACGAUGACAUCUGACACCGAGGGUGGUUUUUUACAGACGUUCUGAAGCUGAGAUGCUGUAAAGGAGAACUGUGGUGGCUGUGAAGUAGUUGGAGGGAAGGAGUCUUGACAUAAAAGUCAAACCACGAUGAUCCCGUCUGAAUGCCAGAGGGCAUGCGCACUUUUACAAGCUUGGAUAUUAUUGGCACAGGAAGCACAACAUAUGCUUAAAUGUGGAUUUCCCUUGCUAUUUGGAGACCCCUUUCCGUUUUGUGCCGUUUUGGUAGGUUGCCACUCCCCUCCAUUUGGUUGGCUUGGACAGAGUAUCUCUUGCCUUGGAUCUUACAGGUCCAGGCCUGGUAGCACCUGGUCAGGGUGAGAACAAGAAAAAGACCACUCCUGAGGAUUUCCCAGUCCUGGAUGUAUGGGCCCUCCAUGAUUCUCUCUCCUUCUGUAACACCAGACCCCAGGUUUUGCCCAGAGUACUUAGGAGAGAAAGAGAACAUAUAAUGAAUGCUAGAACUUCAUCAAGAAGGCUGUCUUAGUUACAUUUCUAUUGCUGUGGUAAAAUGCCAUGACCAAGGCAACUUAUAAAAAGAAGGCUCUUAAUUUGACUUAUAGCUUCAGAAGGUUAGAGUUCAUGGCGGUGCCAUGAAGGUAUAGCUGAGUGCUUACAUCUUGAUCUACAACUGAGAGAGCGAGAAAGAAUAUGCCCACUGGCAUUAGUAGGAGUCUUUUGAAACCUCAUAGGCCACUCCCAGUGACAUAUCUUCCCUAACAAGGUAGUACCCUCCUAAUCCUUCUCAAACAGUUCCACCAGCUGGGGACCAAGUAGUCAAAUAUGUGAGCCCGUGCAGAUCAUUCUCCUUCAAAUCAUCGGAAGAGAUGAAUAAAGAAGGGCUCUAGUGAGUUGGGAGCUGGGACAGUGUCACCAUUUGUAAUCCUUCAGGUCAGAACUAUCUUUGGGAUCCCCAUAUUGAAUUCCAAACAAAGCUACAUCUUUUACAGCUGCUUCCUUUGUGAUCUGGGAGCCUGCAGCGACUCCCUGAGGGAAAACAUGCAGGUGGUCAUUCUAGUGACUGAGAACUUCCCCACAGUGCACCAGAGAUUCUCACCGACUAGUGAUUGACAACUUGGAAUUCUGCAUUUCAAGAGCUGCGGAUCUGUUCCAGGGGUCAGAGGUUACAUGGCCGGUUGUUGAGCACGGACUCUCAACAUACAUUUCCUAAACCAUUUAGCCUUGUACUGUGAUAAUGGACCAUUGGUGUGAGAAAGGACCUUAACUAUCACAUAUGAUGGGUGAGUCUCUUUACUCAGAUGGCCUGUGACCAACUGGGGGAAAGGAGGGCGAUCAUUCUUUUUGUUCUGAAUCUAUAGUGCAGCUUGGUUCGACUAGACUGUCUCAUAAAUCAUAGUGAGUUGUCUGUCUCAAGAUAUCGAUGGACAAAAUGAUUCUUUAUGUGCACCCUGGGCCCCUAACUGAAGUUACUUCUCAGAUAAUGCCUCCUGCUUCUUGUCAGUUUUCUUUUACCCUGUUACCUGUGUAUCUGUAGUUUUUCCUGUACCAGGUUUCAGCUGAAAUGUCAGAAGAGGCGAGGCUUGAGGUUAAAUCACAGCUCUGCUGGUUUGGGACUUUGUCACAUCCAAUGAGUCAUCUCUCUGCAGUAAGUCUCGGGCUCCCUUUUUUUAUAUAUAUUUUAUUUAUUUGUUUGUUUAUUUAUUUAUUUAUUUUUGUGAAAUGGGAAAUAAAGGGCCAGCAAGAUGGCUCAGCAGGACCAGGCAUUUACUGCCAAGGUCAAGCCUCAGGAUCUCCAGACCCCAUGUGGUGGAAGGAGCCAAGUGACUUCCUCUGGCCUUCACAAGUGCACCAUGGCACAUGGACGCUCAUAUGUGUGUACACACACAACAUCAACCCAAAAAAUAUAUUUAAGGGAAAUAAAAUGUUCUCACAUUUUUACUUUGUUGUGAAGAUUCUUGUCUGAGCAGGCAUAUAGGGAAGGGGAAUGGAUUGCCAUACAAACACUUGUUUUUGUUUGGCAAUCUGCAAUAUAAUAAAUAUUCAUGCAUUGAGCAGAAGGAUGGAGGACAAAACCCUGCCUCUGGGGACCUUCCCUAGGCUGGCACUGACUUAGAUGGUGACAGCAUCCUGGCUCACCUGUAUUAGCCUAACACACUGCCCACACAGUCAGCACAUGUCUUUCCAUCAGGAGCUUCCAGUUGUCAAGAGGGCCGUCGUCUGAUUCCCCACUGAAGCCCAAAUACAUCAUGUCCAGUGCAGUUCCUUCAUCUGCCAGUUUGCUAGCCUUGUCUGAGGAGGAAAUGAGGUUUGCUUUGUCCCUGGGGAACCAACACUGUCUGGCAGGACUGACACUUGUUCUUCUAUGUUGUCACAGCCCAUUCUCUUAACACUCUUCCAAGAUCUUGUCCGAGAUCAACAGUCAAAACACUGGUGUCAUGUGGGUCCCCCCCCCCCUUUUCUCUUUUUCUAUCCUAUUGUCUUGAAAUAAGGGACUUUAUUCUCCUCAUCUUUAGUCUUCUGGUACCAACUCUGUUUCCCCGCCCCUGAGGAUUUACAACAAAGGACGCCCAGGGGCCAUCACUUUCGGGUCCAGGUGGCAUUCACCGUGUAUUUUGGUCACUCUUCUCAUUUUUGCUAAUAAUGCUGUAAACUCAGCAUGAGUUGUGUUUGCCCUUAUAAUAUCACCAUGGCUAAAGUCUUCAUGUUGAAAAAGCCAUAAAAAUGUGUUCUGGUAUGUGAUCAAUGCAUUAAAAAUACAGUGUUGCUUUCAGCCCCCAUAUGAAAACAAAACCAACAUUAUAAAAAAGCAGUAUGCUAUUAAAGGUAUAGUGGUAGUUUAUUUUAUGGCUGACAAAAUUAGGAUUCAUUGUUGAAAAGUCUAGAUUUAAAGAGAUAUUUGGGGGCUGGAGAUGUAACUCAGUUUGUAGAAUGCUUGUGUAGAAUGUGCAAAGUCUUGGGUUUUGUCACGAGAAUCUCAUAAAUCAGGCAUGGAGGUGCACAUAUACAGUCCCAUCACUUCAGAAGUGUGGUAGCAAGGUAAGGGGUUCAGGGUCAUCUCUAGCUACAUACUGAGUCCAAGGCCAGCAUCUAUGUGCGAGCUUGGAGACAGACAGACA